AAAAAACAUUUAAAGCCUUAAAGCUGGUCAGGUAAAUAGAAUUGAAAUGGACUAUUACUCCAGUAAUAGCAUUUUAAUCCUGUGAUUAUAGACAGAAAAGUCCAAAUGUGAAUUUGGUAUUCACUUAUGAUAGUGGUUUUAGGAUUUUCAAUCUGAGCAUUACACAUGAAAAAGCAUAAUACUAAACUGCAAAUAUUACAUACAUAACAAAGUAUGUAUGGCUGGGCUAAAGCCAAAUACUGAUGGAAUUAGGUUAAUUUGUAGCACAGCAGCACUACCAUGGUUUCUGUCUUCUGGUGAUUAGCCAUUUACCCUGAUUUGUCUUGGACUGAGAAGCCCAUAGAAAAGAACUUGAACACUGUCCCCACAUGGGGACCAAAUUUGUAAGGAAGAGAAGGCAGAGCGACAGAAGGCAAGGUAAGUGGAUGAAUAAGGAAAUACGUGGCAGCAAAGGAGUUCUAGGAAUUUCUUUUGUUGCCUCCAUGACCUCUGCUACCUACUAACAUAGACUCCCUGGCCCAUGUGUAUUUUAUUUUUUGUCAUCAAAGGUGUGUGAAGUAAGUUGCCCGUUUCAUUCCUACAAAAAGCCUCACUGAAGUUUGGGUACGUAUAUUCUCUUUUUUGCAGUCUCGCUGAAGCAAUGAGCAGACUCGAUCCCCAGACCUCACGAUCAUAGGGGAUGGUGGCUCCACACACUGACCACACAUACCCUGGCCUCGUAACCUGCAGAUUUCUUACCAGCUAAAGAGGGUGCAGAGUAAGCUCUGGUGAUCUCUAGGAAAUUGUAAUGGAAUGUCAGGGCAAGGGACAAUCUGUGUCUCAGGAAUCAGACAGGGAAAAACAACAGUCCUGCCAAGAAAUAGGUGGGGCUACUAAUCCACCAAAGUUCAGUACAACCUUUAACAAGACUUGACUGAGGCACCAUGAUGUAGCACAAUGACUCACACCUCUAAGGCCCACCUUGGGGAUUCCCAGAUUCUUGACAUUAGGAAAUUCCACAAUAGUUUGUACUUACUGCAAAUGGAGGUGGGGCUUUAGAUAAGAGAGCUUUGGGGGCUAGUGUUACAAUGACUGCUUUUGUACUCUAACAGUUUAGUGAAGCCUGCACACGUGCACACACACACACACACACACACACGCACGCGCUCAUGAAAAGAAUGCAUAAAAUGCUAAUAAUGGUUGGGCUGGUGGAGCAGUUUUCAAACUUUAGCAUGCAUCAGAAUCCCCUAGAAGACUUUAAAGCAAAAAAUUCCCACAUUCCCAGUUUUCCAUUCACUAGUUCUGGCUGGGGCCCAAGAGUGGGGCCCAUUUCUAACAAGUUCCCAGGUGAUGCUCUGCUCUGGUGGCCACACGUUGAAAACCAGGGGGCUAGAGUAGGGAGACUAGGAAUUAACUUUUUUCUCUCUUCUCUCAAGUUUUUAAAUGAUUUCUCAUCACAGAAAAAGUAUUCUAUGGUUUAUUUUACCUGCCUGCUCCCAGAUCUGAACAUAGAACAUUUGCAAAGAAGGAUGGGCCUUAGUGAAGCUGUUAAGAGAGAGAGAGCAACUAAUCUCCAAAGAACAAAGGACCUGGGGUCCAUGAGCUCUGGUCUUUAACCGUGACAGGUGUGAAAUGAGGACCUGAUGAAUCUCCUCAGGACUUCAAACACUCGCCGGAAACACAAAUUAAAUGAAAACAAGUCUCUCUCUUUCCCUGGUUCUUCAUCUACCAACUUUGAGCACCUAUAUUUCAAAGGAACUACCUUGGCAGAAAUCGGAAGCAUGGUCAAUUCUGCCAAGUAUCCCCUGGGUCUCAUGUGAAUCCACUAUUUCUAUCGAAGCCACCGUGCAUACCUAUAAAGACCUUUGAGAUGUUACCUUUCAAAGAGGUUUGUUGAGGUCCCCCUUCUAGCAGGCAACAGGGUAGGAGGUAUGGGGGGAUGGUAGGGUGAGAUGCCAAGAUACAUCCCAACUGCAUCUUGAACCCCAAGGAGCUUCCAGACCAGUAAUUCAGAAAGCCCUUUUAGACAUUUUCUGUGACCUGAAUGCAGAGGCAUGAAUGCACCAGACAUUGGAAAAUGUCAAACAUGAGUGCCCUCUUUGGUUGCAAAGAAGCUGCGGCACAGGCUUCACAGAGAAAUGCAGAGGCAUAAUGCAGGGGAAGGGGAAUCAAAGGUCAAUGAGGAAGAACUUUGUUUCAUAAAAGGUUGUUGUAAUUCAACAUGCUGCCCUCUCCUCCCCUGAGAUCAAAUCGAUGUAAAAUGGUAAAUAAACCUAGAUGGCUCAGGAGAGGUCCAAUUAAAUGAAACCCCCACACAGCAGCACCUCACUAAUUGGACAGGAAAUUCAUGGUCAGCAAUAAUUCCAUCACAUCAUUCAUGCACUACUUCUCCCUACAUUAUGCCAAAGCUUCUGGCAAAUACCGGACCUCUAGUUUGCACAGAGCUGCUGCAUCCCUGGCACCUUUCAGAGGGCCCCUCGUUCCAAGGUGGCAGGGGAUAAGCGGAAGCUCUCAUCUUUCUGCCCUUCAGCCCUGGAUCCCUUUCCUCUGGCCCACUCAAGGGCAAACUGUUCCUGAAUUUAUGUGGAAGCUCACUGAGUGCAAGAAACAUAGCAAAACAAAGGCAUUAAACCCUGACAUUUUAUUUUACAGAUGAGAAAACAGAAGCAAUGAAAGGGAGUGACUCCCUCAUCGUUAACUUCUUCUACUCCAGCCUCUAGCCUUAAUUCAGGGCAGAAGCCUCCAGUCAGUGUUAAUACAUACAGAUGGGAAUUAAAAGUGGAACAAUUUAUCACUGUCACUGAUGCUAUAUCCUUGCUACAUUGGGUCUGAUGCUCAAGAGCCCUCACCAACAGCCCUGCAUUAAAUCACAAAUUGUGCGGGACCCAGACGGUUGUCCUGGUGUGAAUUGCUCUUAACAUAAGAUUUGGGGCCUUCAGAUGCUGCCAGUAGCAUUGAGCCCCCACUCAGCAUGGAUGGGACUAACAAGCCCUUUCCUAGAGAUGGGAAAUCAAGGGAGACACCAUCCUUUCCUUGCUUCCAGGUUCGUCACCUAUACCCACCGUACAACGGAUGUACAGAGAAGCACACUUUUUUGUCUCUUCAACAUGGAAUGCAUAGGUCUUCCCCCCAUUCAUCCCCCUUCUUUUUCUCCCCCGCCUAGUCCUCUUCCAUUCAAAGCACUGCAGACACUUCCCCCUGCGAACACUUCUUCAUUUGGCUGAACCCUGGUAACCCAGUCUCAGGAAAAGGAGGAGGGGACUUAACCAGAUCCAGCAGAGGGCCAGGAAGCCUGGAACUGGCUAACCUUCCCUCCAACUGUGCACACCGUCCAGAGGUUAUCGUUGCUGCUCCCCUGCUGUAUCCAAGCCUGUACCUCCAGGUUCCUGUGAAUUCUGAGAGUCCCUAAUGACCGUCCCAUAAAUGCCCCUUUGCUAAUUGAGCCACUAUGACUCUCUGUUACUUGCAGUCAACAAACUCUAAGUGACCUAUCCCCUCCACGCUCCCAACCCCUACAAUAACAUUCUAAUCCCAUUCCCAUUUCUUGUUCAGAUCUAGCAACUCAAACAUAGCAAUUAAACCAUAAGUCCUGCUAAGCUGUGCAUUAGGCUUCCUUCUCA